rnacentral:rRNA from 1 species
UACGAAGGGGGCUAGCGUUGUUCGGAAUCACUGGGCGUAAAGCGCACGUAGGCGGAUCUUUAAGUCAGGGGUGAAAUCCCGAGGCUCAACCUCGGAACUGCCUUUGAUACUGGGGAUCUCGAGUCCGGAAGAGGUAAGUGGAACUGCGAGUGUAGAGGUGAAAUUCGUAGAUAUUCGCAAGAACACCAGUGGCGAAGGCGGCUCACUGGCCCGAUACUGACGCUGAGGCACGAAAGCGUGGGGAGCAAACAGG